GGCUGUCGUCAGCUCGUGUCGUGAGAUGUUGGGUUAAGUCCCGUAACGAGCGCAACCCUUGUCCUUAGUUACCAGCACGUAAUGGUGGGCACUCUAAGGAGACUGCCGGUGACAAACCGGAGGAAGGUGGGGAUGACGUCAAGUCAUCACGGCCCUUACGGCCUGGGCUACACACGUGCUACAAUGGCCGGUACAGAGGGUUGCCAAGCCGCGAGGUGGAGCUAAUCCCACAAAACCGAUCGUAGUCCGGAUCGCAGUCUGCAACUCGACUGCGUGAAGUCGGAAUCGCUAGUAAUCGCGAAUCAGAAUGUGGCGGUGAAUACGUUCCCGGGGUCUUGUACACAGCCAUC
rnacentral:rRNA from 1 species